UCUCACCUGAGGAACUGCAUCCUGUAGUGGAGGGGGAAAGGGAAGAAGCAAAAUGAACACCGUGCUAGUAGUGAGAUAGAUCACAGCCAAACUUAACUAAUUGUGUUGAGCCUGUCCAAUGUCAGCAUGAGAUCACUGUAGGAAAUACAAGUGCAAGACCAAAGAAGGCCCCAAAUGCAGGGUGGGAUGUGGGAAGAGCUGUACCAAGGCUGGUGGUGGCAACUCAGCAGCUCUCCAGCUUGCUGUCAGACUGACUUGUGCUUUCUCAGCUGAUGUUUUUGGAGGAGUGGCUUUUUUUUCAAGUGAAAGAUCAUUCCACAGUCACAUCUGAAAUUUCCAGAGGUGUCCAUGGUCUCUGUGGUAGCAGCUGUUCUCCCUGCUCCAGAAUUUGCUGUCGCAAAUGCUAUGUAAGCAAUGAAGUAUGGUGCCAUGAGCUCGAUAAACACUACAACGGCAAUAAGGUAUGGUGCCCCCCAAUACUUGUCACCUCUUGCUGGUUGCCCACAUGACAGCCCGCUCCAGG
rnacentral:lncRNA from 1 species